rnacentral:tRNA from 1 species
GUACCUGUAGCUCAACUGGACAGAGCAUCUGACUACGGAUCAGAAGGUUGCAGGUUCAACUCCUGCCAGGUACGCCA